rnacentral:rRNA from 1 species
AACGAACGCUGGCGGCAGGCCUAACACAUGCAAGUCGAGCGCGCCCUUCGUGGUAAGCGGCUGACGGGUGAGUAACGCGUGGGAACGUGCCCUUCUCUGCGGAAUAGCCUCUUGUAAUUGAGAGUAAUACCGCAUACGCCCCUUUGGGGAAAGAUUUAACGUAGAAGUAUCGGCCCGCGUGGUAUUAGGCUGUUGGUGGGGUAAUGGCCCACCACGCCGACGAUCGAUAGCUGGUUUGAGAGGAUGCUCAGCCACACUGGGACUGAGACACGGCCCAGAAUACUAGGGGAGGCAGGAGUGGGGGAUCUAAGACAAUGGGGGCAACGAAGAACGAGCCAGGGUGGGUGAGUGAUGAAGGCGUGAGGGUAGUAAAGCUCGUUAAGAUGGGAAGAUAAUGACGGUACCAGCAGAAGAAGCACCGGCUAACUCCGUG